AUUAAAAGAUAAAGCUUAUAGAAAAAUCAGGUCAUUAUAAUUCACAUGCCACGUUUCAGUAUCUUCUUCUUCUACGGCGACACAGCAGCGUCUUCAGUUCGGCCGGCGAUUCUUCAGGCCGGCGACACAGCAGCAUCAUGAUUUCGGCCGGCGAUUCUUCAGGCCGGCGACACAGCAGCAUCUUCAGUUCGCCCGACGAUUCUUCAGGCCUGCGACACAGCAGCAUCGUGAUUUCGACCGGCGAUUCUUCAGGCCGGCGACACAGCAGCAUCGUGAUUUCGGCCGGCGACACAGCAGCAUCAUGAUUUCGGCCGGCGACAUAGCAGGAUGCUUUUGACUAUCGAUAAGUGACAUGAUAUCAACGUGAAGGAAAUAGUACCAACAUGGAGGACAAGGUACCAUAAAGAAUAUGAUACCAACGUGAAAGAUAUCAUGUCAACGUAAAGGACAACAUACCAUACAAAACAUGGUACUGAACAUUUUUGACCAUCCAUGUAAUUUAAGUAUACCAAAUUAAGCUUUUGUAUAAAUCUAGUAAAAGUAAAUUAAUUCAUAAACAUUUAUUUUCCCCACGACAUAUUUAUUGAUAAAUGAGUUGUAAAUAUCAAAUGUAA